rnacentral:rRNA from 2 species
UUUAAAAUGAGAGUUUGAUCCUGGCUCAGGACGAACGCUGGCGGCGUGCCUAAUACAUGCAAGUCGAACGAAACUUUCUUACACCGAAUGCUUGCAUUCACCGUAAGAAGUUGAGUGGCGGACGGGUGAGUAACACGUGGGUAACCUGCCUAAAAGAAGGGGAUAACACUUGGAAACAGGUGCUAAUACCGUAUAUCUCUAAGGAUCGCAUGAUCCUUAGAUGAAAGAUGGUUCUGCUAUCGCUUUUAGAUGGACCCGCGGCGUAUUAACUAGUUGGUGGGGUAACGGCCUACCAAGGUGAUGAUACGUAGCCGAACUGAGAGGUUGAUCGGCCACAUUGGGA